rnacentral:misc_RNA from 1 species
GUGAAUCAUCAAAUUUUUGAACGCAAAUUGCAUUCUCUGGCAUUCCGGAGAGUAUGCCUGUUUGAGGGUCAGUUUAAAUAAAAAUCGAGGUGUUGCUGUUUUGUGACCCAUCGUAUUUGGGUUAUUUUUGACUUUUUAAAAGGUUUAGUUGACUUAAAAUUGAAACUUUGUGAUUUAAGGAGGAUAUAAAGAAU